rnacentral:ncRNA from 1 species
CCAUUGGUGUUACGCGUUGACUUUAGUCACACACCACUAACAAAAGUGAAUAGCGCCUUCAGUUAGAAAUGACUGUCGAAUAAAUCUCUUAAUUGCUGGAAACUCCUUAGAGCCUUGAAUACCGAAGUGUGACAAUUUCAAGGAUUGGACAAUCAGCAGCGAAGCGCAUGUGCCCUCCUGAAUAACUCAGUAAGGAGUAAGACAUAUGAUAAAAUACCCAGAAUCAAGAAACACUGGGUACAUGCGAACGUUCAACGACUAUCCCGCAAGGGAGUAGGGCCAAGUGGCUCGAAAUAGAGGUCAUCCUACUAAUGAGGAUGGUGAUAUAGUCUGGUCUUAUGUGAGAGCAUAAG